CAUGUCUAUAACUCACUGGGAAACUCCAUAGCGGUGUCCGCAUCUCCCCCUCACAGGGUCCUCGCGUUUUGCCCUUUAGGUCCGUCUAUUGGCCUUUAAUUGGAAACGAAGCUCUUUUGUGGAUCUCUUUAUCCGACAUUAACAAGAGUGUCUGGAGGAACUAGAGAUACAGUCAGCCAGACUUUGCUUAGGCAGCAGCCAUGAAGAGCGCGGUCGUGGUAAACAGAGAAGGAAGAGGAGCAGUACUAAUUGUAGUACUUGUGUUACACCUGCUGUCUUGGUCAAAGAGGAAAUGGACCUCUGGAGUGGUGUCACAGUGGACAUGAUGUCUGAUGAAGAGGAGCUGAUGGAUUGUGACACCGCCAUCAUUUAGAAGCAAGGAGCUCUCCGACCCGUGUGCCAUUCUUCAAUAGGGGCAGAAAGAACCCAAAAUAUGUAGCAACACAUGACAAAAGGCUCUGAUGAUGGGUGACCAUUGGACAGAACAGCACCGUCUGCAUAAUGACCCUGAAGCUGCUGAGAGACAUUUUCAAAAUAAUCUGUAUUCAAACUGGCAGGCAGCACCACAUAGUGUCUGCAAGCUGACCAAACUCUUCUUUAGUUUUACCAGGACGGUAGCUUGGUAGGUUGGGCACAGUGGGUGACCCUGAUCCAAGCAACCCACUGGUUGUUCUCUUAUUUUAUCUAUUCUUUUUAAUAAAGCUUUUAUA